rnacentral:rRNA from 1 species
GACGAACGCUGGCGGCGUGCUUAACACAUGCAAGUCGAACGGUAAGACCCUUCGGGGUACACGAGUGGCGAACGGGUGAGUAACACGUGGGUGAUCUGCCCUGCACUUCGGGAUAAGCCUGGGAAACUGGGUCUAAUACCGGAUAGGACCACUGCCUGCAUGGGGGGUGGGGGAAAGCUUUUGCGGUGUGGGAUGGGCCCGCGGCCUAUCAGCUUGGUGGGGGGGUGAUGGCGUACCAAGGCGACGACGGGUAGCCGGCCUGAGAGGGUGGCCGGCCACACUGGGACUGAGAUACGGCCCAGACUCCUACGGGAGGCAGCAGUGGGGAAUAUUGCACAAUGGGCGCAAGCCUGAUGCAGCGACGCCGCGUGAGGGAUGACGGCCUUCGGGUUGUAAACCUCUUUCAGCACCGACGAAGCGCAAGUGACGGUAGGUGCAGAAGAAGGACCGGCCAACUACGUGCCAGCCGCCGCCGUAA